AGAGAAAACAGGAUGUUUCUUUAGCUGUUUGAAGAGGAUCCUUUUUACACGAUCGUGAUCAGAGGAAAUAAAUAAUAUACAUAGAGAGGAGAGAUAUUUCAGAGAGUAAAUAUAUAAUCGUCUCAAAGAUUGCAUAAAAUAACAAAAGGAAAUGUUUGAAAUUUUUUGGCGAGUAAAGUUUUCUUUUUUAAAUGUCGUUACAUAAUGACAACAUUAAACAGCUGUGUGUGAAACUUAAGUAAUUCCGUUCCACCGUAUGGAGUUGCGGCUCUCGCAUCAAAAGAACAGUAAGAAGAAAGUUAAAUGAAAUAUAUGGUUCUCAUCUGAAAAUUAUUUGCGUGAAACACGUCACGGUGAGUAAAUUGUCAGCUGGGCCAAGGAAACAUGGUCACGGAUCAGCGACAAAAGCAACAGCUAUAAUGUCGGUCAAAAGACGCUACAGACGAGAAAAUGUGUUCGAGCGAACAAAAAGAAGAGCUGCGAGAGUCACGCUUCUAUGGAGGCGGCUGCGUGUUUCGAAUAAAAGGAUUUCCAAGUUGCAAUGGCGCCAUUAGC
rnacentral:misc_RNA from 1 species